rnacentral:misc_RNA from 1 species
AGCAGCCGCGGUAAUUCCAGCUCCAAUAGCGUAUAUUAAAGUUGUUGCAGUUAAAAGCUCGUAGUUGAAUUUCGGGAUCAAUAUGUUGGUCGUGCCUUGGUACGUACUGGCAUUAUCGAUUCCUACCUUCUGAAGAACCUCGAUGUCAUUAAUUUGGUGUCUUGGGGAAUCAGGACUGUUACUUUGAAAAAUUGAGUGUUUAAAGCAGGCUCGCGCUUGAAUACAUUAGCAUGGAAUAAUGAAAUAGGACGUUUGAUUCUAUUUUGUUGGUUUCUAGGGUCGACGUAAUGAUUAAUAGGGAUAGUUGGGGGCAUUAGUAUUCAAUUGUCAGAGGUGAAAUUCUUGGAUUUAUUGAAGACUAACUACUGCGAAAGCAUUUGCCAAGGAUGUUUUCAUUAAUCAAGAACGAAAGUUAGGGGUACGAAGACGAUCAGAUACCGUCGUAGUCUUAACCAUAAACUAUGCCGACUAGGGAUCGGAUGAUGUUAAUUUUUAUGUACUCAUUCGGCGCCUUAAC